GGAGAAUAGUAUAAAUUAAUAUAUAUUAGGUGAAGUAUUAGUAUAUUAUAUUGAAAAUUAAUAAUUUUGGCGGCUAAUUAUUUUUAGGGAGGCUUGUUUUGGGAAAGUAUUUACUCUUUAUAUUUAUAAAUUUAUUUUGUUUAUUCAUCUCCGUUAUCAGGUAACAGAUAUUGUUUAAAAUGGUUUUGUGAUUUCAGGUCAAGAUGUAGCAUUAACUUUAAAUAAAAAUUAGCUAUAAUUUAGGGGAACUUUUUAGGUAAUAUAGGGGGAUAGAAAAUUUAAUUGUAAUGGUAUUUAAAAAGGUAGGUGUAAAAAAUUAAUUGGUGUACAUAUC
rnacentral:rRNA from 1 species